rnacentral:rRNA from 1 species
UACAGAGGGGGCAAGCGUUGUUCGGAAUUACUGGGCGUAAAGGGCGCGUAGGCGGCCCGCUAAGUCGAACGUGAAAUCCCCGGGCGCAACCCGGGAACUGCGUCCGAUACUGGUGGGCUCGAAUCCGGGAGAGGGAUGCGGAAUUCCAGGUGUAGCGGUGAAAUGCGUAGAUAUCUGGAGGAAUACCGGUGGCGAAGGCGGCAUCCUGGACCGGCAUUGACGCUGAGGAGCGAAAGCCAGGGGAGCAAACGGG